rnacentral:rRNA from 1 species
UACGUAGGGGGCAAGCGUUGUCCGGAUUUAUUGGGCGUAAAGAGCGUGUAGGCGCCUUACAGGUCAGCUGUGAAAACUCGAGGCUCAACCUCGAGACGUCGGUUGAAACCGUAAGGCUAGAGUCCGGAAGAGGAGAGUGGAAUUCCCGGUGUAGCGGUGAAAUGCGCAGAUAUCGGGAAGAACACCCGUGGCGAAGGCGGCAUCCUGGACCGACAUUGACGCUGAACGGCGAAAGCUAGGGGAGCAAACGGG